UUCGGGGUUUGGUGUGGUGGCCCUAUCUCUCGUCUGUCUUUUACAGUCGCACGCGUUGAUGGAUGGGAGUAGGGUGAACGCAUGAAGAUAAAGUUUGGCGGCCCAAUGACGCGGCGACGCGUCAACUAUGUGACCCUCUCGAUCCCCUCUGAGCUGGACAGGCACGUGAUGGGUCACGUGACAUAUAGGGGCUACCAUCUCCUCUUUCAGAAUUCAAAAACGGAAAAUAUAGCUCUAUGACAAUGAGAGACGAGAGACAGACGACUCCUGAACUCGACGGACAGCUUCUCAACUCCCAACUUCGACGGCCGACUCCCUUAGUUCCUCCCUUUCACUCCGACGUCCUUGACUUCGACGCCUGGCUCUCGACUCUCUCUCUCCCUCUCUUUCCAUCUCAUUCGAAGGACGGACUCCUCCUCUUCACGCCGACGACAGGUCCUUCUGACGCCCUACUCUGUCCUCCCGAGUCCCGACUCCCUCUAUUUCCAUCCCAUUGACGACGAGAUGUCAAGUUCAAUUGUCAACGGCAGUAGCUCAGAUCGGUUAACGUACUUGAACAAAAAUUGUCCUACAUGUAAUAAAAAUGCCACGAUUCGAAUUUCUAAGACCGAUCGAAACAAAAACAAGCUAUUAUACUCUUGUAAUUGUUGUGGUACUUUCGUUGGAUGGUGUGUGCCUAUGAAUUCACAAUGUGGAGAUCAAGAAAUUCCAAGACAAGUAGAAAGAAAACUGCUAAGAUCUAUGACGGAACAACUUGGAGCUAUGAUCGAACAACAAAGAUCUAUGACGGAACAAUUUACCUUCGUUAGUGCAAAGAUGCAAAAAAUAGAAUUUCUGAUGUUUAUGUUGCUUGUAAUUGGUGUGUUAUUACUUAUGAAGAUGU